AUUGAACGCUGGCGGAAUGCUUUACACAUGCAAGUCGAACGGCAGCACGGACUUCGGUCUGGUGGCGAGUGGCGAACGGGUGAGUAAUGUAUCGGAACGUGCCCAGUCGUGGGGGAUAACGUAGUGAAAAUUACGCUAAUACCGCAUACGAUCUAUGGAUGAAAGCGGGGGAUCGCAAGACCUCGCGCGAUUGGAGCGGCCGAUAUCAGAUUAGGUAGUAGGUGGGGUAAAGGCCCACCAAGCCAACGAUCUGUAGCUGGUCUGAGAGGACGACCAGCCACACUGUAAGUGAGACACGGUCCAGACUCCUACGGGAGGCAGAAGUGGGGAAUUUUGGACGAUGGGCUAAAGCCUGAUCCAGCCAUUCCGCGUGCAGGAUGAAGGCCCUCGGGUUGUAAACUGCUUUUGUACAGAACGAAAAGGUUUCUACUAAUACUAGGAGCUCAUGACGGUACUGUAAGAAUAAGCACCGGCUAACUACGUGCCAGCAGCCGCCGUAA
rnacentral:rRNA from 1 species